rnacentral:rRNA from 1 species
ACGCGCGUAGGUGGUUUGUUUAAGUUAGGAGUGUGAAAUCCCCCGGGCUCAACCUGGGAACUGCAUUCAAAACUGACUGACUAGAGUAUGGUAGAGGGUGGUGGAAUUUCCUGUGUAGCGGUGAAAUGCGUAGAUAUAGGAAGGAACACCAGUGGCGAAGGCGACCACCUGGACUGAUACUGACACUGAGGUGCGAAAGCGUGGGGAGCAAACAGGAUUAGAUACCCUGU